UACUUACAAAAAAAACUUGUCCAUGAAUUCAGUGCGUGUAUCACAAUCGCUUUAUUUUCACUGUAGGUGCUUAAGGCGUUAAUAGGGGCUAGCGACCUUGGCGACGAUUUACUAGGCGGAAUCGGGGGACCGGCGCGAAUCUAUCGUAGUAAAAGUUAGGUAGUACCUAAUAACAAUGAAGUCUUGCACGAAAGGCAUAACACAACACCCUGUUUGGAAGGCAGUAAUCAGCUUAGUGGGCACUGGCGAUGGCAAGGUGUUAGUUCGACAAAACAAGUUCGGGAACUUCCCCCUUAAGUAGGCCUUACAAAGGGUCUUUGUUUGGAAAUAAAACAAAGAUAUUUUGGCAUUACGAGUUGCGAAAGGGCUCUAACAAUCUCUAUAAGUAAGGUAAACUGGAGAGGUUCGUAUUACUGGGUUGAAGGAAUUGUAAUUAAGUUUUGACGAAGGAAAGAAGGAACCUACGAUGAAGGAAAAUGUACUGUAUAUAACAUGGAGUUAAUGAAAGUAGUACGUGCUACGCGAAUUUAAUAUUAAACGGUUUUUGAUGACUCA